UAAGUUGUAUGUGGAAGCUGAAUAAUAGAGCUGCAUAAAUGUUAUAAGGGAGCAAGUACUGUGUUAAUAUCUGUGAGUUGCUAUUACGCAACCUCUGUUACUUCCUCAGGUGUGGGUUACCACAGGUUAAGUUUUGUUUAAGAGAAAACAAAAGUAAAAGCAGUCUUCCUGGAGUUCAGGUGAGAAACGGUGUGCUACUGUUUGGAAUACGCUGUGUUGGGGACAUAUGGAGAUCAUAAAGUCUAAAAAAGUGGAACUUAUCAAAUGGCUACGUGGAGAUGUGAUGUUUUUACAGUAUGUUGACCAAGAUAAAAUUCUAACUAUGGACGAAUACGACACAAUUAAAAACAUCAAAGAUCCUCGUGAGCGAAUCACAGAACUCGUGGACAUGAUUCUCAGCAAGGGCGACACCACCUGCAACAAAUUUCUGCGCUUGCUGGCAAAAGAUGAUGUGAAUGAAUCCAGACCUGAGCUCCGGGAAUGGAUAACAAUGGUGGAAAUUCCAGAGAAACCAAAAGCACCGGCCAAAAAGGCAGCAAAGCGUAAAGCGGG